UACGUAGGGUGCAAGCGUUGUCCGGAUUUAUUGGGCGUAAAGAGCUCGUAGGCGGUUUGUCGCGUCGGAUGUGAAAACCCAGGGCUCAACCCUGGGCCUGCAUUCGAUACGGGCAGACUAGAGUAUGGCAGGGGAGACUGGAAUUCCUGGUGUAGCGGUGAAAUGCGCAGAUAUCAGGAGGAACACCGGUGGCGAAGGCGGCACUCUGGGACGGUACUGACGCUGAGACGCGAAAGCGUGGGGAGCGAACAGG
rnacentral:rRNA from 1 species